UGGUAAAAUGUGAUGUACCUAGUAAUAUUAGUGAUUAAUAUGAGGCUAACCGAGUUAGUUAAAAUUCUAAGUAUAUAUGUGAUUAUGACAAUAUGUGCUUAUUUCUUGACCAAGUCACGUGCCAGCCGUCGCGGUAAUACGUGGAAGAUCAGUGUUAUUCAUCUUUAUCAGGUUUAAAGGGUACCUAGACGGUUAAUUAAGCUUUAGUAGGAACUAAUUAACUAGAGUUUAAUGUAAGAAUGAUUGAGUACGGUGAGUGUAGAGAUAAAAUUCUGUCAUACCACUUAGGAACUGGUAAAAGCGAAGGCAACUUUCUAUGUAAAAACUGACGUUAAGGGACGAAGGCUCGUAUCAAAUAACAGGAUUAGAUACCCCAGCAUUGUGGGCAGACAAUGAUGAGUGUCAUAUGCAAGAGAUAAAUAUAUAAAAAAAUAUUUUGUGUAUAAAUGAAAGUGUAAGCACUCCACCUCAAGAGUAACGUGGCAACAUGGGAACUGAAAUCAUUAGACCGUUUCUGAAACUCGUAGUGAAGUAUGUUGUUUAAUUAGAUGGUGCACAAAUAACCUUACCACAAUUUGUAUAACUAUAGUACAUAAUAAUAAUAUAGUUACAAGCGUUGCACGGCUGUCUUUAGUCUAUGUUGUGAAACUGUGGUUAGAUCCAUUAAAUAGACGUAAACCCUUACUUUAUUUAUUAUAAAGUAGUUCGCCG
rnacentral:rRNA from 1 species